rnacentral:lncRNA from 1 species
GGUGCUAGCUCUCUUAUAGACUUCGUUCUUUGGCUUAGAUCAGGGCCCUUAUCCUUGUAUUACUUGAAGUAGCCCUGUUGUUGAAUCUUGGGGAUUAAUCCUAACUACCAAAAAAAAAUUAAAUUUUUUUUUUUUUGAUUUUCUUUCUCUCUCUUUAAGGCCUCUCUCUAGAUUUGAUCUAGAAGGAAGAAUCAGGGUGUGGAAGGGGAAAAGGUGGCAUGA